ACAACUGUUUAUCAAAAACACAGGUUUCUGCAAAAUCGUAAGAUGAAGUAUAGGGGCUGACGCCUGCCCAGUGCUGGAAGGUUAAAAGGAGGACUUAGCUUCGGCGAAGGUCUUAAUUGAAGCCCCAGUGAACGGCGGCCGUAACUAUAACGGUCCUAAGGUAGCGAAAUUCCUUGUCGGGUAAGUUCCGACCCGCAUGAAAGGCGUAAUGAUUUGGGCGCUGUCUCAACAAUAGACUCGGUGAAAUUUAAAUUCCAGUGAAGAUGCUGGGUACCCGCGACAGGACGGAAAGACCCCGUGGAGCUUUACUGUAGCUUGAUAUUGAAUGUUUGUGCUGCAUGUGCAGGAUAGGUAGGAGACUUUGAAGUCGGAACGCUAGUUUCGAUUGAGUCACCCUUGAGAUACUACCUCUGUUGUAUGAACGUUCUAACUCUGAUCAGUUAUCCUGAUCGAAGACAGUGUCUGGCAGGCAGUUUGACUGGGGCGGUCGCCUCCUAAAAGAUAACGGAGGCGCUCAAAGGUUUGCUCAGAAUGGUUGGAAAUCAUUCGUAG
rnacentral:rRNA from 1 species